rnacentral:tRNA from 1 species
GUCUCCAUCGUCUAGUGGUUAGGACACCAGGUUUUCAUCCUGGUAACAUGGGUUCGACUCCCGUUGGAGAUGCCA